GAUGGUGUGUGCGGAUAAGGUAGAUGUUGAGCUGGAAUGGCACUCACUCCUUUGUCUCCUUUCUUCUUCUUUCGUGGCUCGGCUUCUUUCUUCAUUUCCACUUCACCCUGCUGCUCUGCUGACACUUGCUGAUUCUGCUCUUUUCGCGGCGCGAACUGAACAGUUUCUGCCACUUUCUCCUUUUCAUAAUCCACAUCCUCAUUUUCAGGUACAACAUCCA
rnacentral:lncRNA from 1 species